GAGUUUGAUCCUGGCUCAGAUUGAACGCUGGCGGCAGGCCUAACACAUGCAAGUCGAACGGUAACAGGAAGAAGCUUGCUUCUUUGCUGACGAGUGGCGGACGGGUGAGUAAUGUCUGGGAAACUGCCUGAUGGAGGGGGAUAACUACUGGAAACGGUAGCUAAUACCGCAUAACGUCGCAAGACCAAAGAGGGGGACCUUCGGGCCUCUUGCCAUCGGAUGUGCCCAGAUGGGAUUAGCUAGUAGGUGGGGUAACGGCUCACCUAGGCGACGAUCCCUAGCUGGUCUGAGAGGAUGACCAGCCACACUGGAACUGAGACACGGUCCAGACUCCUACGGGAGGCAGCAGUGGGGAAUAUUGCACAAUGGGCGCAAGCCUGAUGCAGCCAUGCCGCGUGUAUGAAGAAGGCCUUCGGGUUGUAAAGUACUUUCAGCGGGGAGGAAGGGAGUAAAGUUAAUACCUUUGCUCAUUGACGUUACCCGCAGAAGAAGCACCGGCUAACUCCGUGCCAGCAGCCGCGGUAAUACGGAGGGUGCAAGCGUUAAUCGGAAUUACUGGGCGUAAAGCGCACGCAGGCGGUUUGUUAAGUCAGAUGUGAAAUCCCCGGGCUCAACCUGGGAACUGCAUCUGAUACUGGCAAGCUUGAGUCUCGUAGAGGGGGUAGAAUUCCAGGUGUAGCGUGAAAUGCGUAGAGAUCUGGAGGAAUACCGGUGGCGAAGGCGGCCCCCUGGACGAAGACUGACGCUCAGGUGCGAAAGCGUGGGGAGCAACAGGAUUAGAUACCCUGGUAGUCCACGCCGUAAACGAUGUCGACUUGGAGGUUGUGCCCUUGAGGCGUGGCUUCCGGAGCUAACGCGUUAAGUCGACCGCCUGGGGAGUACGGCCGCAAGGUUAAAACUCAAAUGAAUUGACGGGGGCCCGCACAAGCGGUGGAGCAUGUGGUUUAAUUCGAUGCAACGCGAAGAACCUUACCUGGUCUUGACAUCCACGGAAGUUUUCAGAGAUGAGAAUGUGCCUUCGGGAACCGUGAGACAGGUGCUGCAUGGCUGUCGUCAGCUCGUGUUGUGAAAUGUUGGGUUAAGUCCCGCAACGAGCGCAACCCUUAUCCUUUGUUGCCAGCGGUCCGGCCGGGAACUCAAAGGAGACUGCCAGUGAUAAACUGGAGGAAGGUGGGGAUGACGUCAAGUCAUCAUGGCCCUUACGACCAGGGCUACACACGUGCUACAAUGGCGCAUACAAAGAGAAGCGACCUCGCGAGAGCAAGCGGACCUCAUAAAGUGCGUCGUAGUCCGGAUUGGAGUCUGCAACUCGACUCCAUGAAGUCGGAAUCGCUAGUAAUCGUGGAUCAGAAUGCCACGGUGAAUACGUUCCCGGGCCUUGUACACACCGCCCGUC
rnacentral:rRNA from 1 species